rnacentral:rRNA from 1 species
GUUGGUGGUUAAAUGUCAUACGAGGUGUGUUAAUAUCUGGGUGUGUUCGAAAGAUGUAAAGGUGUCGAAUAAAUGUAAUUUGCUGGCAUAAGAUUGUUGUGAAAUGAUUUUAAUUAAGAGGGAUUAACUAUAAAUAAGGUUCAAGCGCCUCCGGGUGUUAUUAUUAGUCGUUUGCAAUUAGGUUAAGAUGGGUAUUCGCUUAUGUUACAAAUGGGAAAAACCCGAACUAGUAGUUAAAGUUGAAAAAUAUCAAUGUGUCUUAAAUGAAAUUAUCUAAUAGAUUUGUUUUAAUGUCAGCUCAAAAGUUGGAUUAAUAGCAUUCAUCUUUUCAAAAGUGU